UAUAAAUCAGUAAAGUUGUAUAAUUUGCAUAUUAUAUAAGUUUUUAAAUGACUCAUGUUUGUAGUUCAAUUUACAGAUUGGUAUUAAAGGAAAGGGGCAAGCCUGAAGGAGAGAAUAUUGAUUGACUACAUUUAUGAAAAUUAUUCUGACUCUUCAUUCUUAAAGAAUUUGGAAUAUCAAGACACAAAAGAAAACAAAGACACAGAAAUAUUGAACAUUAGAGCAACUGACACUGAAUCUACCACUCACUUGUAGACCUGUGGAACUAUUGCUUUGCCUUUUUAAUAUAUCCAAUUUUUUAUAUCACGUAUGGGAGACAUUCUACC
rnacentral:lncRNA from 1 species